UUUUUUAAGGCUCUCAGUUAUUUCUAAUCUGCUGCAACCAUAAGCAUUUAUAUAUUUCGAUAUACAUGAGCUUGCAAUUUCUGGUGUAAAUCUCGAUCUUCAAAUUAUGUGGUAUUACUGAUUUAUCAUGUUUCAAAUGUCACCGAAGCCUAUUUGGGAAAUGAUUACACCUUGGCGCGACCAAGAGAUGCCAAUUGUCUGUUGCAUCCGCAGUUAUGCAUCGGCCUCUCUGGCUAUAGUUAGUGCAGCCACUACAACAACUCUUCAGUAUCAUGCUAUGCGUUUAUGAAAAAAGAUUUCUUGGUUUACUUUCCUCACCAUGCUUUGCUUCCGUUGGUCCAUUUGAGGUGCUCCAAAGAUGGUAUGUUAUAAAAUGCUACAUCAUAAUUUUUUAUAUGUGGUGGUUCUCAUAGUCAGUGCAGGUGACGGACAAAGAGGGAAAUACCAAUGUGUUUGGACAAGUUAUUUAUGUGGAAAGUUUGCUAGCUAGGAAUACAUGUUCCCCCUUUUUCUAUGGAAAUGGUAAAUUGUUUUUGCUACAAAGAAGGCUUGAUGUUCUUUACCUAACAAAAGGUAAGUGCCAUUUGUAGUCUC